UGUAAGAUAGACUAAUGGUAAGUCAUUAGGCUCAUAACCUAAUAAUAAGAGUUCGAUUCUCUUUCUUACUU
rnacentral:tRNA from 1 species